rnacentral:rRNA from 1 species
UACGUAGGUGGCAAGCGUUGUCCGGAUUUACUGGGCGUAAAGAGCGCGCAGGCGGUCGGAUAAGUCGAAUGUGAAAGCCCCUGGCUCAACCAGGGAGGGUCAUUCGAUACUGUUCGACUCGAAGGCAGGAGAGGGAAGUGGAAUUCCGGGUGUAGUGGUGAAAUGCGUAGAUAUCCGGAGGAACACCAGUGGCGAAGGCGACUUUCUGGCCUGUUCUUGACGCUGAGGCGCGAAAGCGUGGGGAGCGAACAGG